GAUGAACGCUGGCGGCGUGCCUAAUACAUGCAAGUCGAGCGAACGGACGAGAAGCUUGCUUCUCUGAUGUUAGCGGCGGACGGGUGAGUAACACGUGGAUAACCUACCUAUAAGACUGGGAUAACUUCGGGAAACCGGAGCUAAUACCGGAUAAUAUUUUGAACCGCAUGGUUCAAAAGUGAAAGACGGUCUUGCUGUCACUUAUAGAUGGAUCCGCGCUGCAUUAGCUAGUUGGUAAGGUAACGGCUUACCAAGGCAACGAUGCAUAGCCGACCUGAGAGGGAGAGCGGCCACACUGGAACUGAGACACGGUCCAGACGCCUACGGGAGGCAGCAGUAGGGAAUCUUCCGCAAUGGUCGAAAGCCUGACGGAGCAACGCCGCGUGAGUGAUGAAGUUCUUCGGAUCGUAAAACUCUGUUAUUAGGGAAGAACAUAUGUGUAAGUAACUGUGCACAUCUUGACGGUACCUAAUCAGAAAGCCACGGCUAACUACGUG
rnacentral:rRNA from 1 species